GACGAACGCUGGCGGCGUGCCUAAUACAUGCAAGUAGAACGCUGAAGGAGGAGCUUGCUUCUCUGGAUGAGUUGCGAACGGGUGAGUAACGCGUAGGUAACCUGCCUGGUAGCGGGGGAUAACUAUUGGAAACGAUAGCUAAUACCGCAUAAGAGUAGAUGUUGCAUGACAUUUGCUUAAAAGGUGCAAUUGCAUCACUACCAGAUGGACCUGCGUUGUAUUAGCUAGUUGGUGGGGUAACGGCUUACCAAGGCGACGAUACAUAGCCGACCUGAGAGGGGGAUCGGCCCCACGGGGACUGAGCACCGGCCCAGACUCCUCCGGGGGGCGGCAGGAGGGAAUUUUCGGCAAUGGACGGAAUUUUGACCGAGCAACGCCGCGUGGGGGAAGAAGUUUUUCGGAUCGUAAACUCCUGUUGUAAGAGAAGAAGGGGUGUGGGAGGGGAAAGUUCACACUGUGGGGGUAUCUUACCAGAAAGGGACGGCUAACUACGU
rnacentral:rRNA from 1 species